UACGGGGGGAGCAAGCGUUGUUCGGAAUUACUGGGCGUAAAGGGCUCGUAGGCGGCCAACUAAGUCAGACGUGAAAUCCCUCGGCUUAACCGGGGAACUGCGUCUGAUACUGGAUGGCUUGAGGUUGGGAGAGGGAUGCGGAAUUCCAGGUGUAGCGGUGAAAUGCGUAGAUAUCUGGAGGAACACCGGUGGCGAAGGCGGCAUCCUGGACCAAUUCUGACGCUGAGGAGCGAAAGCCAGGGGAGCAAACGGG
rnacentral:rRNA from 1 species